rnacentral:rRNA from 1 species
GACGAACGCUGGCGGCGUGCUUAACACAUGCAAGUCGAACGGAAAGGCCCGGCUUUUGUGGGGUGCUCGAGUGGCGAACGGGUGAGUAACACGUGAGUAACCUGCCCUUGACUGUGGGAGAACUUCAGGAGACUGGGGCUAAUACCGGAUAGGAUCUCUUGCAGCAUGGUGGGGGUUGGAAAGUGUCGGCCGUGGGGGAUGGCUUCGCGGCUUAUGAGCUUGUUGGUGGGGUAGUUGCUGUCCAAGGCUUUGAAGGAUAGGCGGCAUUGGAGGGUUGCCGGCCACCUUGGGACUACGAUACGCCGCAGCAUCCAACGGGCCGCAGCGGUGGGAAGUAUUACGCAGUGAGCGCACGCCUGAUACGACAACCCCGCGUGCGGGAUGCCCGCCUUCGGGUUGUGAACCGCUUUCGAAUGUGCCGAAGCGUGAGUGACGGUAAUGGGUAAAGAAGCACCGGCUAACUACGUG